UAAAUGAAAGCCAAAGAAGCGGCAUCUAACUGUUAAUUAGAUUAAUGUUAUUAUUAACUCAUUUAG
rnacentral:tRNA from 1 species